CAUAUUCUAGUGUAAAGCAAGAACAAUCAUUAGGCCAUGUUAGGCAUGCCGAAACAAUGAUAUUGAAUAAUAAGUGACAUUUUUAGCAAGAUUAGAUUGAUCCUAAGAGUUGUACCCACAUACAUUCAAACACAGCAAAGAUGAGCAUGAGAUGGGGAAUUUGAUUGAUUAUAGCUGGUUGACCGGGCAUGAUGUUGGGAAUAGAGUUUUUGCAGUUUAGGUAGGACCAAUGCUGAAGAUGCUUUACCAUGCCUAUCUAGCCACUGCUACAUGAGCAGCAGUUCUCACUAUCUCCUUAAGCUGAAGCUUCCAAGCCAUUAGCUCUAAAAGAAGUUUUCCAAGUUUAAACUCAUAAGAAUUGCCACCGUCAUAUCCUUCAUUUGAGCUUUUCAAUUUCAAUACGUUCGUUUACCCUUUCAAAUUCUAAUCAGGAAACUCCAGACCGUCAGCUAUCAACCACCACAAGAAACGGUAUGAAGUAGUAUUCUCCUGCGCAAAGAACAGAUUUGAGGGAGUUAGUUCUCUAGGAGAAAGAUGAAAACAAUUUUCAGUAUUAGUAAGAGAAGCUUAAUUAUACUAGUAAGUAAAGUUUGAAAAUUAGCUAAUUUGUGAAAAGUAAGGAGGAUAGAAAUUUAGAAUAAAAGAAUCAAAAGGCAAGACUUUUACAGUUCAGAAAAGAAAACCCCUAAAAGCAAACCAAAAAAACCAGCCACUCGGAGAUCCUUGAAUUGCGGUCCCGGAAGAAGCUUCGAAUCUUUCUGAGCAAAACAACUCUUUGUCUUGUCUUGUCUUGUCUUGGUCUUUAAGUAACCUAAUCUAGCCACCUACAAAAAUAAAAUUCCUCAACCAAGUCCGUUUAAUAUCUCAGAAAUGAGGUUGCUUUUUUUCUGUUUCUUGAUUCUCCUACCCUCUGGUUUCUCC
rnacentral:lncRNA from 1 species